CAAUAGCGUAUAUUUAAGUUGUUGCAGUUAAAAAGCUCGUAGUUGGAUUUCGGGUGGGACGCAGCGGUCUCGCAUUGCGUUUGUACUGCUGCAGCCCUCCUUCUUGCCGGGGGCGGCCUCUCGGACUUCACUGUCUGGGGGUCAGAAUCGGCGAUGUUACUUUGAGUAAAUUAGAGUGUUCAAAGCAAGCUUACGCUCUGAAUAUAAUAGCAUGGGAUAACACGACAGGACUCUGGCCUAUCGUGUCGGUCUAUAGGACCAGAGUAAUGAUUAAGAGGGACAGUCGGGGGCAUUCGUAUUCCGUUGUCAGAGGUGAAAUUCUUGGAUUUACGGAAGACGAACAUCUGCGAAAGCAUUUGCCAAGGAUGUUUUCAUUGA
rnacentral:rRNA from 1 species